UGUGUGAUGAGCUGGUGGAGGAGAUGGA
rnacentral:piRNA from 1 species